UCUCCGUAGGUGAACCUGCGGAGGGAUCAUUACAAGUGACCCCGGUCUUACCACCGGGAUGUUCAUAACCCUUUGUUGUCCGACUCUGUUGCCUCCGGGGCGACCCUGCCUUCGGGCGGGGGCUCCGGGUGGACGCUUCAGACUCUUGCGUAACUUUGCAGUCUGAGUAAACUUAAUUAAUAAAUUAAAACUUUUAACAACGGAUCUCUUGGUUCUG
rnacentral:misc_RNA from 1 species